CAAAUAUUUGACUUUUCGUCUUAUUUAAAUUUUUUUGCGAUUAAUAUUUUUAUUAUUACUAGAUGAUAAAAUAUGAAUAGUACUUCAUGCGUGACUUUUUUUAAAAGAUUUUGAACUAAUUUUUCACAUAAAACGAAUGGUUAAACGUUAG
rnacentral:pre_miRNA from 1 species